rnacentral:misc_RNA from 1 species
GAUGAAGAACGUAGCGAAAUGCGAUAAGUAAUGUGAAUUGCAGAAUUCAGUGAAUCAUCGAAUCUUUGAACGCACAUUGCGCCCGCUAGUAUUCUGGCGGGCAUGCCUGUCCGAGCGUCAUUUCAACCCUCAAGCCCCCGGGCUUGGUGUUGGGGAUCGGCGAGCCUCCGCGCCCGCCGUCCCCUAAAUCUAGUGGCGUUCUCGCUGUAGCUUCCUCUGCGUAGUAGCACACCUCGCACUGGGAAACAGCGCGGCCACGCCGUUAAACCCCCAACUUCUGAACGUUUGACCUCGGAUCAGGUAGGAAUACCCGCUGAACUUAAGCAUAUCAAUAAGCGGAGGA